UUGUAGCUAAAUGGCAGAGUACUGUUGCGUAAAACCAGGAGCCCGGGUUCGAUUCCCGGCAA
rnacentral:tRNA from 1 species